UACGGGGGGGGCAAGCGUUGUUCGGAAUUACUGGGCGUAAAGGGCUCGUAGGCGGCCAACUAAGUCAGACGUGAAAUCCCUCGGCUUAACCGGGGAACUGCGUCUGAUACUGGAUGGCUUGAAUCCGGGAGAGGGAUGCGGAAUUCCAGGUGUAGCAGUGAAAUGCGUAGAUAUGCGGAGGAACACCGAUGGCGAAGGCAGUCCCCUGGGCCUGUACUGACGCUCAUGCACGAAAGCGUGGGGAGCAAACAGG
rnacentral:rRNA from 1 species